AGCGAACGCUGGCGGCAGGCCUAACACAUGCAAGUCGAACGCCCCUUCGGGGGAGUGGCGGACGGGUGCGUAACGCGUGGGAAUGUGCCCUUUGGUACGGAACAACUGAGGGACACUUCAGCUAAUACCGUAUGUGCCCUACGGGGGAAAGAUUUAUCGCCAUUGGAGCAGCCCGCGUUGGAUUAGGUAGUUGGUGGGGUAAUGGCCCACCAAGCCGACGAUCCAUAGCUGGUCUGAGAGGAUGAUCAGCCACACUGGGACUGAGACACGGCCCAGACUCCUACGGGAGGCAGCAGUGGGGAAUCUUGCGCAAUGGGCGAAAGCCUGACGCAGCCAUGCCGCGUGAAUGAUGAAGGUCUUAGGAUUGUAAAAUUCUUUCACCGGGGAAGAUAAUGACGGUACCCGGAGAAGAAGCCCCGGCUAACUUCGUG
rnacentral:rRNA from 1 species